GGGUUGUGAGGUUAAGCGACUAAGCGUACACGGUGGAUGCCCUGGCAGUCAGAGGCGAUGAAGGACGUGCUAAUCUGCGAAAAGCGUCGGUAAGGUGAUAUGAACCGUUAUAGCCGGCGAUGUCCGAAUGGGGAAACCCAGUGCAAUUCGUUGCACUAUCGUUUGAUGAAUACAUAGUCAAACGAGGCGAACCGGGGGAACUGAAACAUCUAAGUACCCCGAGGAAAAGAAAUCAACCGAGAUUCCCCCAGUAGCGGCGAGCGAACGGGGAGCAGCCCGGAGUCUGAAUCAGCUUGUGUGUUAGUGGAAGCGUCUGGAAAGUCGCAGGGUACAGGGUGAUACUCCCGUACACUAAAACACACAGGUUGUGAACUCGAAGAGUAGGGCGGGACACGUGGUAUCCUGUCUGAAUAUGGGGGGACCAUCCUCCAAGGCUAAAUACUCCUGACUGACCGAUAGUGAACCAGUACCGUGAGGGAAAGGCGAAAAGAACCCCGGCGAGGGGAGUGAAAAAGAACCUGAAACCGUGUACGUACAAGCAGUAGGAGCCC
rnacentral:rRNA from 1 species